rnacentral:rRNA from 1 species
GAUAAACGCUGGCGGCGUGCAUGAGACAUGCAAGUCGAACGAAGGAUCGGGCUUGCUCGAUCCUUAGUGGCGGACGGCUGAGUAACGCGUAGGUGACCUACCCCGAAGUGGGGAAUAACUGCCCGAAAGGGUGGCUAAUACCGCAUGUGGUCGCACGUUCAUUCGUGCGAGUAAAGCCGCAAGGCGCUUCGGGAGGGGCCUGCGUCCGAUUAGCUCGUUGGUGGGGUAAUGGCUUACCAAGGCGACGAUCGGUAGGUGGUCUGAGAGGACGAUCACCCAGACUGGGACUGAGACACGGCCCAGACUCCUACGGGAGGCAGCAGUCGGGAAUUUUGCUCAAUGGGGGAAACCCUGAAGCAGCAACGCCGCGUGAGGGAUGAGGGCCUUCGGGUUGUAAACCUCUUUUGUCAGGGACGAUGAUGACGGUACCUGGCGAAUAAGCCACGGCUAACUACGUG